ACCCGCACAAGCGGUGGAUGAUGUGGAUUAAUUCGAUGCAUCGCGAAAAACCUUACCUACCCUUGACAUGUCCGAGAGCUCGAAGAGAUUCGAGUGUGCUCGAAAGAGAAUCGGAACACAGGUGCUGCAUGGCUGUCGUCAGCUCGUGUCGUGAGAUGUUGGGUUAAGUCCCGCAACGAGCGCAACCCUUGUCAUUAGUUGCUACGAAAGGGCACUCUAAUGAGACUGCCGGUGACAAACCGGAGGAAGGUGGGGAUGACGUCAAGUCCUCAUGGCCCUUAUGGGUAGGGCUUCACACGUCAUACAAUGGUCGGGACAGAGGGUCGCCAACCCGCGAGGGGGAGCCAAUCCCAGAAACCCGAUCGUAGUCCGGAUCGCAGUCUGCAACUCGACUGCGUGAAGUCGGAAUCGCUAGUAAUCGCGGAUCAGCAUGUCGCGGUGAAUACGUUCCCGGGUCUUGUACACACCGCCCGUCACACCAUGGGAG
rnacentral:rRNA from 1 species